rnacentral:rRNA from 1 species
UUGGAAGUAAAAAAGUCGAACAAGGUCUCCGUUGGUGAACCAGCGGAGGGAUCAUUACCGAGUUUACAACUCCCAAACCCAAUGUGAACGUUACCAAACUGUUGCCUCGGCGGGAUCUCUGCCCCGGGUGCGUCGCAGCCCCGGACCAAGGCGCCCGCCGGAGGACCAACCAAAACUCUUUUUGUAUACCCCCUCGCGGGUUUUUUAUAAUCUGAGCCUUCUCGGCGCCUCUCGUAGGCGUUUCGAAAAUGAAUCAAAACUUUCAACAACGGAUCUCUUGGUUCUGGCAUCGAUGAAGAACGCAGCGAAAUGCGAUAAGUAAUGUGAAUUGCAGAAUUCAGUGAAUCAUCGAAUCUUUGAACGCACAUUGCGCCCGCCAGUAUUCUGGCGGGCAUGCCUGUCCGAGCGUCAUUUCAACCCUCGAACCCCUCCGGGGGGUCGGCGUUGGGGAUCGGCCCUGCCUUGGCGGUGGCCGUCUCCGAAAUACAGUGGCGGUCUCGCCGCAGCCUCUCCUGCGCAGUAGUUUGCACACUCGCAUCGGGAGCGCGGCGCGUCCACAGCCGUUAAACACCCAACUUCUGAAAUGUUGACCUCGGAUCAGGUAGGAAUACCCGCUGAACUUAAC